rnacentral:rRNA from 1 species
UGGGGAAUUUUGGACAAUGGGCGCAAGCCUGAUCCAGCCAUGCCGCGUGCGGGAAGAAGGCCUUCGGGUUGUAAACCGCUUUUGUCAGGGAAGAAAUCUUCUGAGUUAAUACCUCGGGAGGAUGACGGUACCUGAAGAAUAAGCACCGGCUAACUACGUGCCAGCAGCCGCGGUAAUACGUAGGGUGCAAGCGUUAAUCGGAAUUACUGGGCGUAAAGCGUGCGCAGGCGGUUUUGUAAGACAGAGGUGAAAUCCCCGGGCUCAACCUGGGGACUGCCUUUGUGACUGCAAGGCUUGAGUGCGGCAGAGGGGGAUGGAAUUCCGCGUGUAGCAGUGAAAUGCGUAGAUAUGCGGAGGAACACCGAUGGCGAAGGCAAUCCCCUGGGCCUGCACUGACGCUCAUGCACGAAAGCGUGGGGAGCAAACAGGAUUAGAUACCCUGGUAGUCCACGCCCUAAACGAUGUCAACUGGUUGUUGGGAAGGUUCCUUCUCAGUAACGUAGCUAACGC